rnacentral:rRNA from 1 species
CGACACACUAUCGUUAACUGAAUACAUAGGUUAACGAGGCGAACCGGGGGAACUGAAACAUCUAAGUACCCCGAGGAAAAGAAAUCAACCGAGAUUCCCCCAGUAGCGGCGAGCGAACGGGGAGCAGCCCGGAGUCUGAAUCAGCUUGUGUGUUAGUGGAACGGUCUGGAAAGUCCGACGGUACAGGGUGAUAGUCCCGUACACGAAAACACACUUGCUGUGAACUCGAAGAGUAGGGCGGGACACGUGGUAUCCUGUCUGAAUAUGGGGGGACCAUCCUCCAAGGCUAAAUACUCCUGACUGACCGAUAGUGAACCAGUACCGUGAGGGAAAGGCGAAAAGAACCCCGGCGAGGGGAGUGAAAAAGAACCUGAAACCGUGUACGUACAAGCAGUGGGAGCCUCUUUAUGGGGUGACUGCGUACCUUUUGUAUAAUGGGUCAGCGACUUAUAUUCUGUAGCAAGGUUAACCGUAUAGGGGAGCCGAAGGGAAACCGAGUCUUAACUGGGCGUUAAGUUGCAGGGUAUAGACCCGAAACCCGGUGAUCUAGCCAUGGGCAGGUUGAAGGUUGGGUAACACUAACUGGAGGACCGAACCGACUAAUGUUGAAAAAUUAGCGGAUGACCUGUGGCUGGGGGUGAAAGGCCAAUCAAACCGGGAGAUAGCUGGUUCUCCCCGAAAGCUAUUUAGGUAGCGCCUCGUGAACUCAUCUUCGGGGGUAGAGCACUGUUUCGGCUAGGGGGCCAUCCCGGCUUACCAACCCGAUGCAAACUACGAAUACCGAAGAAUGUUAUCACGGGAGACACACGGCGGGUGCUAACGUCCGUCGUGAAGAGGGAAACAACCCAGACCGCCAGCUAAGGUCCCAAAGUCAUGGUUAAGUGGGAAACGAUGUGGGAAGGCACAGACAGCCAGGAUGUUGGCUUAGAAGCAGCCAUCAUUUAAAGAAAGCGUAAUAGCUCACUGGUCGAGUCGGCCUGCGCGGAAGAUGUAACGGGGCUAAACCAUGCACCGAAGCUGCGGCAGCGACACUAUGUGUUGUUGGGUAGGGGAGCGUUCUGUAAGCCGUUGAAGGUGUGCUGUGAGGCAUGCUGGAGGUAUCAGAAGUGCGAAUGCUGACAUAAGUAACGAUAAAGCGGGUGAAAAGCCCGCUCGCCGGAAGACCAAGGGUUCCUGUCCAACGUUAAUCGGGGCAGGGUGAGUCGACCCCUAAGGCGAGGCCGAAAGGCGUAGUCGAUGGGAAACAGGUUAAUAUUCCUGUACUUGGUGUUACUGCGAAGGGGGGACGGAGAAGGCUAUGUCAGCCGGGCGACGGUUGUCCCGGUUUAAGCAUGUAGGCGGAGGUUCCAGGUAAAUCCGGUACCUUUUAACGCUGAGGUGUGAUGACGAGGCACUACGGUGCUGAAGUGAUAAAUGCCCUGCUUCCAGGAAAAGCCUCUAAGCAUCAGGUAACACGAAAUCGUACCCCAAACCGACACAGGUGGUCAGGUAGAGAAUACCAAGGCGCUUGAGAGAACUCGGGUGAAGGAACUAGGCAAAAUGGUGCCGUAACUUCGGGAGAAGGCACGCUGAUAUGUAGGUGAAGCCCCUGCGGGCGGAGCUGAAAUCAGUCGAAGAUACCAGCUGGCUGCAACUGUUUAUUAAAAACACAGCACUGUGCAAACACGAAAGUGGACGUAUACGGUGUGACGCCUGCCCGGUGCCGGAAGGUUAAUUGAUGGGGUUAGCGGCAACGCGAAGCUCUUGAUCGAAGCCCCGGUAAACGGCGGCCGUAACUAUAACGGUCCUAAGGUAGCGAAAUUCCUUGUCGGGUAAGUUCCGACCUGCACGAAUGGCGUAAUGAUGGCCAGGCUGUCUCCACCCGAGACUCAGUGAAAUUGAACUCGCUGUGAAGAUGCAGUGUACCCGCGGCAAGACGGAAAGACCCCGUGAACCUUUACUAUAGCUUGACACUGAACACUGGUCCUUGAUGUGUAGGAUAGGUGGGAGGCUUUGAAGCGUGGACGCCAGUCUGCGUGGAGCCAUCCUUGAAAUACCACCCUUUAAUGGCUGGUGUUCUAACGUAGACCCGUGAUCCGGGUUGCGGACAGUGUCUGGUGGGUAGUUUGACUGGGGCGGUCUCCUCCCAAAGAGUAACGGAGGAGCACGAAGGUUGGCUAAUCCUGGUCGGACAUCAGGAGGUUAGUGCAAUGGCAUAAGCCAGCUUGACUGCGAGCGUGACGGCGCGAGCAGGUGCGAAAGCAGGUCAUAGUGAUCCGGUGGUUCUGAAUGGAAGGGCCAUCGCUCAACGGAUAAAAGGUACUCCGGGGAUAACAGGCUGAUACCGCCCAAGAGUUCAUAUCGACGGCGGUGUUUGGCACCUCGAUGUCGGCUCAUCACAUCCUGGGGCUGAAGUAGGUCCCAAGGGUAUGGCUGUUCGCCAUUUAAAGUGGUACGCGAGCUGGGUUUAGAACGUCGUGAGACAGUUCGGUCCCUAUCUGCCGUGGGCGCUGGAGAAUUGAGGGGGGCUGCUCCUAGUACGAGAGGACCGGAGUGGACGCAUCACUGGUGUUCGGGUUGUCAUGCCAAUGGCACUGCCCGGUAGCUAAAUGCGGAAGAGAUAAGUGCUGAAAGCAUCUAAGCACGAAACUUGCCCCGAGAUGAGUUCUCCCUGAGACUUUAAGUCUCCUGAAGGAACGUUGAAGACGACGACGUUGAUAGGUCGGGUGUGUAAGCGCAGCGAUGCGUUGAGCUAACCGAUACUAAUGAACCGUGAGGCUUAACCUUACAACGCCGAAGGUGUUU